CGCAUGCGCAUCUCUGAAGCCAGAGAAAAGCGCAUUUGUUCAAAAGUCGAAGCACUUUGUGGGGUCGCCACGCGCAUGCGUGAUAGCGGGAUGGUGGUCGGGGAGGUAGAUUUCCUUAGACACGGGCUUGGCUUUGCACAUGCGCAGUUGACCGUGGGGGGAGACUCCUCUGUGAGGCCCUUCCUGCCCAGGCGGAUGGGUCCGGUUGUGCACAUGCGUGGUUGGUUCGUACUGCCUAAGGGGCGGGGUCUGGGCCGGUGGGCUGUGCGCAGGCGCGCUCCCGGCCGAGGGGAAGUGAAGAUGUGGCCUUCAGGGGAACCCCAUACACACCGGCGGAGUGUCUCCGCCAUAUAAGGAAGUGACCAAGGAGGACAUGUUUCGAGAGGUGCUCCAAUCCUCAGAGGCUGAAAAACAAGAAUGCAAGGUGUGGAGAGAGACUUUAAAAGAAAAUUCUAAAAUUGAGAGGCGGGACAGAUGGCUACCCACAGUGUGCUGCUCUCUGUCAAUGUUAGAGUACCAAUUGUGGACCUGCUCUGCUGACAGAAGGAACGUUGUGUGUACAUGCACAAACCAUGUCAUUAUACUGGUGUUCGAUCGUCUGUGUAACUUGCGUUGACAAAACUCUGUGUAGACAAGGCCUUAGUCUUCAGUGCUGCUAGCCCAGCACUUCCUAUGAGCAAUGAAACUCAUACUGUUACUUAAAAAUUGACAACAGGGCUGCAGAUGUGCUUGUCGUCUUGCCCAAGACAACAAACAGAGAAAAACAGAACUGAAUGACAUAAGGGAAUCUGAGCUAGCUUUAACUCCUGCAGGAAAAAGAGGCUCCUGACAGCUAAGCCAUAUCUGCUCAUUGUGCUGCAAUAGUUGAAGCAAAUAAGAUUGUAAACUUUAUUAGUAUAAAGUAUCAAAUGCAAUGAAUGGUUGUUUAGAAGGGGAUGGUACAUCCCUCAUUGGUUCCAGGUUUGGCAUUCUAAUAAUAGCUUUUCCUUUGUAUUAACGGAAGAUAGGGGGAGUGAGUAAGUGAGGUCUGGACUUCUGGCAAAAGACACAUCUAUCAAUCCUGCCUUUUGAUCAUUCUUCAGAGAGAAUUAUUUUGUGUUGUAGAUUUAAAGGGGAGAGACUUAGAAGGCAGGGGGUGGAGAUCUUGCUCAAAUGUAACAUUAUCCCUUUGCUUUUUUGUCCCUAACUCUUCUGGUAUAUGUACACUUAUCUUGAUUUUGUUUAAUUUCACGGUUUCUCAAACAAAAUUUAUCUUUACUUCAGUUUUUCCUGGAAAACUAUUGGUGGUCUCUUGAAUAUUAAGCUUGUUGUUGUGAAGUUUUUCUACUUCCUCCCCCCCACCCCCUUUCACUGGUGAAGUCAUCUUGUCUCUUCAGUUUUGGUUACGUGUCCAAAGUAUGCAUGUACAGAUACAGUAAUGGAAGGUGUCUGGAAUAAGUUAAAUACCAGUCUUGAUAUUGAUGUGAAGAGCAGCUGAGUCCGAACUUGGUCUGUCAUCAAUUAAAUAUGUUCUUUCUUAUGAAGACUUGUUUCUUUUGCAUUUCAGAGCAGGAGAAAUACUUUAGUAGAUGGUGCAGAUGUUCUUAUUGUGAUACAAUUACUGCCUUCCGAAGGGGAGAGCUCAUUUUAACUUCCUGCAUCAAGAGCCCCACUUCCAUCAUUCUCAUGCUCUGUUCUCUUGCUCCCUUUUAAGUUGGCAAUUCUUUUGAGUAGACAGAAGAGACCUCUAAAAUGCUAAGUUGGAAACCUAGUGCCCCAUGAGCAAGAAAAGAAUACAUAGUUGCAGGGGUGACUCAUCAAGCAAAAGUUUUGCUGAAUAUGAAUUUGUAAGAUUCCAGAGGGGUGGGGAGUACGUGGCUACUAAUGAAAAACAUAAUUAACGUCAUACUUGGUUUCCUCCCGAAGAUCCUGAGCAAUUGAAGCUACAGAUGUUUUGGCAGAGAAAUCACACAAACUAAAAAAGGGAAAAAAGAGGGAUUUAGAAUGGAAUAGUUCUUUCCUCUAUCCAUUUAGGGUACUUCUGAUUCACUCCCGUUGGCAGAGAAAGAGGGAAGUCUGCAGCUCAGAUUUCUCAGGCGCUUAAAAAGAUUCUGCAUCUCCGUUAAUGUUACUUAGCGCAUGUCUCUACGUACAGCGCUGCAGUGGGCGCAGCUGUAGCACGUCUGGUGAAAACUCUCUGUGCCGACAGGAGAGAGCUCUCCCGCUGGCAUAAAAAACCCCAUCUCCAUGAGCAGCAUAAGCUAGGUCGGCAGGAGAAGUUCUCCCACCAGCAUAGCACUGUGCACACUACAUUCUAUGUCGGUGGAAUUUAUGUCCCUCGGGGCGGGGUGUGUGGAAUAUUCACACCCCGAGCGAAAACAGUUUGCUCACAUAGGCUAUAGGGUAGACAUAGCCGAGCACUCGAUUUACAACUGUAUUGUUUUCUUUCUCUGCAGCCUUGCAAAAGGCUAUUGAAGCUUUUAAAAAAUAAAAUGUUCUAAUCAAUUAAUAGGAGACUUAAGCUAAUCUACUGACAUGAGAUUUCCCAUAAACAACCAUGCUCUGUGUGUGUAUGUGGUGAGCUUAGGAAGCAAUGGUAACUAUUUGGAUGUUUUCCUAUACCUUAAAUGAGUUUUAAAUUAGUAUUGGGGAAAGUCUUUCCCUGUAAACCUCUCCCCUUAGAACUGUAUUAGAACUCUUGCUAUGAUGAAUUUUGUGCAAUUGAGGCUACAGAUGUCCUGGCAGAGAAAUCACACAGCAAAGGGAAAGAAUAGGGGUUUAGAAUGGAAUAGUUUAUAGUGACGAAUUUUGCCACGUAACGGUAUUGUAAGAAUAUUGCUAUGAAAUCUCAUAGCUAUUAUGGAAGUAUUAGUAUUAUAGAAAUACGCUUAACCAAUGAGCCAAAAUAAGACACGCUUUACUUGAGCACUGGUGCACAUGUUGGGAGUGUGCUAAGACAUCAGCUCAAAUGCAGAAUACCUUAAAAUCUGAAGCUUCUGCCCAAAUAAAUGUGUUAGUCUCUAAGGUGCCACAAGGGCUCCUUGGGUUUUUUUUUUUUUAAAUCUGAAGAGUGCACUAGGAAUAAAAUAAUGCACAUCCUUGUACAUCUGAGUACAGUUCAAUAAACUGGUUAAAUUACAGCAGUUUGGAACCCUUAAUUUUUCCAAGAUGAGUUACAUUUUCUGCUUAUUGCUGUUACUGGAAAAAUGGGUUAUAAGUGUCUAAAAUGCAGAAACACUGUAAGUUGCAACUAACUAUGGAUACAGAAGGGUAGGGUGGGAGGAGGACUGGGGCUUAUCCAGGCUAGAAAUAGUAAGGAGAGGUAGAUUUCAAACAUAAAUUGCUUGGUGUGGAUUCUAACAGCAUCUCAGAAGCUGCUUCUCUCAACAGGGAGUGUAAUCUGAGGAGUACAAAGGUUAAAGUCAAGGUCAGGGAUUGAGCUUUUCACUCUUUCAAUGGCCUCUUGAAAGUUGAAAUAAUUAGGUAGAUUUUUUAAAGGAUAAGGCCACCCUUUAUCUGUCCAAUAAGGAAUAUUAGCACAUUCUUUCCUGCUCUUACUAGACACAUAAAGGAAAGGGAUGAUGUGUGUGUGUGUAGGGGGGCAGAACCAUUCUUGCUAAACUUGUUUUUGUGCAGGGAGAGUUUGUGUGUUUUAGCUAAGCUGUUCCUAAUGGGCGGAAUUGUUCAAGGGGCGAUCUCAGCAGCAACCUGGGUAGAUUGGACCCCACUGGUGUUCCUAAAAUAACUACUUAGCUUGUCUUGUCCAUAAAUCUCCAGUGCCUGACAAAGCAAGCAUCGUUCUUCCCACGCUAGAGAUGAGAAAGCUGAGGCCAGAGGUGGACUUGCCCAGUGUCACACAGCAGGGCAGUGGCAGGUAAUGAUUGCAGUAUAAGAACCUAUAGAGUUUAUUUUUGCAUGUGGGAGGGAGAAAAGCUGAGAGGGCUUCAGAUGAGGUUGCCUGAUUCAACAGGACUUUAUAAAGACCCCUUGCCCUUCUUUCUUUUUCCGGCCAGUAAACUCUGUCGGAGAGUUCUGACCGUCUCUAGUGUUCUUAGAUGUAUAUGCUAGCAGCCCCUAGCUCUGAGCUAAAGAUCCCAGUUGCUCAGUGAUAAAACUGGGAAUCAUGUCGGUUUUCAACAGGACUGUGCAAUCAGCAACUCCUAUUCUGAGGGACGCCAGAUACUAAACAGCAUAGUUUGGAAUGAAAUGAAAGUCUGAAACGUAACUGCAAAGAUGGCACUGCUUUAUCUCAACGGCUCCGUUACCUGGGUGUUCUCAAUCAUAUCUGCUCCCUUUAGUGAUAAGAUUCUGAUUCUUGUGGGCCUGCAGAGAGUUAAUGCUGCUCCAUGAGGGGAAGCUAGAUAUUGCUCAGCCUCAAACAGGGCAGAAGUGUUCGUGGUGCAACGGAGGGUGGAAUUUGGAACACAAGUGCAAGUCUUCCUGCUCCGUGAGUUUGCCCAGUCAUGACUGAUAAUUUUUGUUUCUGGUGAUAGCCUGGAAUCUCUCUCAGAUAAGUUUGCAGGACUGGCAGUUAAAGCAACCAUUAUUACUCUUACAUUGGUUUCAGAGUAGCAGCCGUGUUAGUCUGUAUUCGCAAAAAGAAAAGGAGGACUUGUGGCACCUUAGAGACUAACCAGUUUAUUUGAGCAUAAGCUUUCGUGAGCUACAGCUCUUACACUGAGAGAGUUUGAUUUGAAAAUCACUGGGGGGGCAUUUUCAGUCACUUUUCAGCAAUCACUUUUUUUUUUUUUAAAUGUUCACAUUCAUUUCAUACCCUGAGCCAAUUAGUACUUAUCAGUAAUAAAAUGAGAAUGUCAAGGCCACAAAACAAUUGGUCUUUUAUUCUUACAUGUAAUCAGUGAAAACUGCAAACCAUUUUAAGGCUAACUUUUUAUAGUCUGUUACAGAAAUGGAUAUUUGUGUUAGAACUCUAAAUACCCAAGUUGAGUCGCUCAGCAACUUUGACUUGCCCAUAAAGCGCACAGUUUUGCCUGCAGAUAGACAUGUGUAUCUGCCAUUGAAGUCAAUAGACGUAUGUGCAUACAGACUGGAUUAAGCCUGUUUAAACUCAGCAAAGUUAUGGAUUCAGAAUAGACUGUACAAGGUGGUGUGAACUAACACUGCUAUAAAAAACAACUUGCAGUUUGUUCAGAUGUAGGGUUUUACCUGAGGGCCAUCACUUAAAUAUCAGCAUGUAGGAGCCUGGUUCUCAUUUAGACAAAGGUCCCUUUCCACUGCCACAGUAGGGUCUUCUUGUUAAGGUCUGCUUCCGAGGCUUGCACACUUGUGCUAGCCACGUGCUCAUCUACUCAGCAUGGUGUAUGAAGUUCCUGCACAAAGUGCUAUUCUUGUCUUUAAAGUAACUUAAACAAUUUAACUGCCGUGUGAAAUUCUGUGGCUGUCAGAUACCGCUGUAUCAGGUAUGGUCUAGGACAUACACUCUGUUUGUGGUACUGUACUACUGUUACCGAAACUGUGGAAGUAUUCCCCCAAAAACCCUGUGGUGGUAAAUACAGCCUUUGGUGGGAAUGUGGAGUUCACAAAGGCAUGUUUUUACAGGGUCACCUGCAGUCCUUCCCUGUAUCUAACACUUCUUUUAAAACUAACCUAGCGGUGAGAAGUUUAGCUGUAUCCACCAUGUCCAGCUAUAAAAUAAAAAAUAAAUUUCUUGAAGUGUGCUGCAUAUUUGGCUGAUAUCAAUGAUUCAAAGUUAAAAAAUAAAAGUUCUGGCUUGUUUUGCACAAUGACUUUUUGAAGUGAUUGUAAAAGCUACAAUGAAGGGCAAAUACUCUACUCCUGAUACUGUGGCACUGUUUGAAGUGUUCUGGUAAAUUGAAAUGAGCACCCAGGGAGUUCUAGAGUGAGGACAAGAGCUUUUUUUAUGAUAUUGCUUCCAACAUGUCCUGUACUGGUGGAAUAUUCUUCCAGAAUUUCCAGUACAAAUUUUCUGCAUGAAAGUGCAGGGACCCUUGGAAUAAGCCCCACCCUAGAGGGAGAUAACAAAAUAAAUAACCCCCUGUGUACAGUUCAGUAUGAAUACAGUGUAAUUUGGCUUUCAAAAUCACAGCACUACAAAAAGAUACAGUUAACAUCUGCAAUCAUCAUCCCUUUACUGUUCAAUAAAUCAAAGGCAUGUGACACCACAGGGUACAUAUUAACAAGAAAGUAAAUAUUAAUGUAAGUUCUGCGCAUAUAGCUCUCAGCAGCUUUCCUGUGCUGUGUGGGUUUUUUUUGUUUUGUUUUGUUUUGAAUCAUUAAGCAGCAUUUGAAAACACUUGUGGGCAGGAAACACUCAUUAAAAUCUCUUGGUCUGGACCGGCCUUCAGUCAUAUUUGGCACUGCUCUUGGGAGUGUUAGCAGCCAGUCCAGCUGUGAAUGGACAGGGAGAACUGUGUAGUCCCUCCAGCACGGGGGUUAAGCACACUCCGGGGCUGCUGUGAGGGGAAGCGGUCAGGGCAGCCAUCUGUUCUGUGAAUGAGCAGACCACAAAUCUCCAGGGAGAUCAAUUCAGCAGCUUUCAUGAGCCACUAAAAUUGACUUAAUUGUUUUUGUCUAACAGCUAAUCUAAAAUAAAUACAGGGCCACCUUAGUGCUGCUUUGAAACAUGGGAACGGGGGAAAAUCAGUCCUCCUGCACAAGCAGAAUACAUCCAGUAAGAAUACCUAACCAAUUGUGCAAGUGUGUCUCACACCCAUCUUACAUAUACUCCAUUUGAAACAGCUGUCUAGCCAUCCACGUGCACAGUUAAGGCGUAACUAAUAAGCUUCUUCAAAGUAGAGAAGUUAGAUAAAAAUUUUUGGCACCAGUAUGUACCCCCAAAAUGCCUUUUAGUGCACUUUAUAUAAUAAAGUCCUAGAAUGACCACCUUUGAAAGGCAAUAGGCUAGCCCUCAUGCUACGCAAUUCUACAGGAACAUUCAGAAAGUGCUACAUCUUACAAUAACGGUCCUGCGAUGGUUCAGGCUGCUGUGGAAUCUUGAGACAAUGUAAUUGGGGGGGGGGGGGGGAACUAAACAUCUUGGUAGCAUUGCAAAAGCUUAGCACUAAAAGCCUUUCUGUUCUGCCCAAAUGUUCUGAAAUGGUUCAGUCCAUCUCUACAAGAUUGUUAAAUUUUGGUAAAACUGACUGAAGUAUAACUCUCUUGACUUAAGAAAAGAUCAGUGUUAUGUAAACUGCUUUAAACUCAUCGCCUUUAUAAACCAGAUCUCUCUAUAUUAAACUCCAUUUCCUUUUUAAAGUUGCUGCUAUUUUUGCUGGAGGGCUGGUAGGCAGUUUGUUAGUAUGCACUAAAGCAAAAAUGUGCAAACCUGGCUACCUAAAAUUAGGGUCCUAAAUAUAUUUAAGAACUGAAAAAAGUGCCCUGAUUUGCAAAGCUGUCACUGCUCAGCAGUUUCCACUCAUUUCAAACUAAUGGAAACUGUGGGUGUUCAGAACCUUUGAGAAAUUGGGCAACUUUAAUGUAGGCUUCUCUCUCUCUAUAUAUUUAGGAGCUUAAUUCUAGGCAUCCAGGUUUCCAAAUUUUGUUUUAAACAUAUAGUAAACUAGUCAAGUGAUGGAUCAAAUGUCUUUUUGGCUUAGGGUUUUGAUUUU